AGCGAACGCUGGCGGCAGGCCUAACACAUGCAAGUCGAACGGAUCCUUCGGGAUUAGUGGCGGACGGGUGAGUAACACGUGGGAACGUGCCCUUUGGUCCGGAACAACUCAGGGAAACUUGAGCUAAUACCGGAUGUGCCCUUCGGGGGAAAGAUUUAUCGCCAUUGGAGCGGCCCGCGUCUGAUUAGCUAGCUGGUGAGGUAAAGGCUCACCAAGGCGACGAUCAGUAGCUGGUCUGAGAGAAUGAUCAGCCACAUUGGGACUGAGACACGGCGCAAACUCCUACGGGAGGCAGCAGUGGGGAAUCUUGCGCAAUGGGCGAAAGCCUGACGCAGCCAUGCCGCGUGAAUGAUGAAGGUCUUAGGAUUGGAAAAGUCCUUCACCGGGGACGAUAAUGACGGUACCCGGAGAAGAAGCCCCGGCUAACUUCGUGCCAGCCGCCGCGGUAA
rnacentral:rRNA from 1 species